AAGGUAGCGAAAUUCCUUGUCGGGUAAGUUCCGACCUGCACGAAUGGCGUAACGACUUCUCCGCUGUCUCGACCACAGGCCCGGUGAAAUUGCACUACGAGUAAAGAUGCUCGUUUCGCGCGGCAGGACGGAAAGACCCCGGGACCUUUACUAUAGCUUGGUAUUGGUGUUUGGUUCGGCUUGUGUAGGAUAGGUGGGAGACUGGGAAGCGGUCACGCUAGUGGUCGUGGAGUCGUUGGUGAAAUACCACUCUGGUCGUUCUGGGCAUCUAACCUGGGUCCGUGAUCCGGAUUGGGGACAGUGCCUGGUGGGUAGUUUAACUGGGGCGGUUGCCUCCUAAAGGGUAACGGAGGCGCCCAAAGGUUCCCUCAGCCUGGUUGGUCAUCAGGUGUUGAGUGUAAGUGUAUAAGGGAGCUUGACUGUGAGACUGACGGGUCGAGCAGGUGCGAAAGCAGGGACUAGUGAUCCGGCACUGACUGGUGGUAGUGGUGUCGCUCAACGGAUAAAAGGUACCCCGGGGAUAACAGGCUGAUCUUGCCCAAGAGUCCAUAUCGACGGCAUGGUUUGGCACCUCGAUGUCGGCUCGUCGCAUCCUGGGGCUGGAGUUGGUCCCAAGGGUUGGGCUGUUCGCCCAUUAAAGCGGCACGCGAGCUGGGUUUAGAACGUCGUGAGACAGUUCGGUCCCUAUCCGCCGCGCGCGUAGGAGUCGUGAGGAAGGCUGUCCCUAGUACGAGAGGACCGGGACGGACGGACCUCUGGUGUGCCAGUUGUUCCGCCAGGAGCAGGGCUGGUUGGCUAUGUUCGGGAGGGAUAACCGCUGAAAGCAUCUAAGCGGGAAGCCUGUUCCGAGAUGAGGUCUCCCACCCGGAUGUUGUCCGGGGUAAGGCUCCCAGGAGAUGACUGGGUUGACAGGCCAGAUGUGGAAGCGCAGUAAUGUGUGGAGCUGACUGGUGCUGAUAGGCCGAGGACUUGUUCAC
rnacentral:rRNA from 1 species